rnacentral:rRNA from 1 species
CAGCAGCCACGGUAAUACGGAGGGAGCUAGCGUUGUUCGGAAUUACUGGGCGUAAAGCGCGCGUAGGCGGUUACUCAAGCCAGAGGUGAAAGCCCGGGGCUCAACCCCGGAACUGCCUUUGAAACUAGGUGACUAGAAUCUUGGAGAGGUCAGUGGAAUUCCGAGUGUAGAGGUGAAAUUCGUAGAUAUUCGGAAGAACACCAGUGGCGAAGGCGACUGACUGGACAAGUAUUGACGCUGAGGUGCGAAAGCGUGGGGAGCAAACAGGAUUAGAUACCCCAGUAGUCCCUGUCUCUUAUAA